AUGGCAGGACAGGACUUAGGAAGUUUCUUUUGCUCUUUGACCCAGUAUUGAUUGAAGGAGUGCAGCCGAAACUGUAACCAAACGAGGCCUGAUGCUUCCAGAGUAGUAUUGCAAGCAACAGUAGCAGCUUUAAAGGGAAGGUAGAGAGAUUCAACUAGUUAGAGUGAAAGCUGGAGAUCAAGUUAUUCUCCCAGAAUAUGGAGGCACUAAAGUUGUUCUAGACAACAAGGAUUCUUUC
rnacentral:lncRNA from 1 species